rnacentral:rRNA from 1 species
CCUACGGGGGGCAGCAGUAGGGAAUCUUUCACAAUGGGCGAAAGCCUGAUGGAGCAACGCCGCGUGCAGGAUGAAGGCCUUCGGGUUGUAAACUGCUUUUAUAAGCGAGAAAUAUGAUGGUAACUUAUGAAUAAGGAUCGGCUAACUACGUGCCAGCAGCCGCGGUCAUACGUAGGAUCCGAGCAUUAUCCGGAGUGACUGGGUGUAAAGAGUUGCGUAGGUGGCAUAAUAAGUAGCUAGUGAAAUCUGGUGGCUCAACCAUUCAGACUAUUAGCUAAACUGUUAAGCUCGAGAACGUUAGGGGUAACUGGAAUUUCGAGUGUAGGAGUGAAAUCCGUAGAUAUUAGAAGGAACACCAAUAGCGUAGGCAGGUUACUGGGACGGUUCUGACACUAAGGCACGAAAGCGUAGGGAGCAAACGGGAUUAGAUACCCUGGUAGUC